GACGAACGCUGGCGGCGUGCUUAACACAUGCAAGUCGAACGGAAAGGCCCUGCUUUUGUGGGGUGCUCGAGUGGCGAACGGGUGCGUAACAUGUGAGUAACCUGCCCUUGUCUUUGGGAUAACUUCAGGAAACUGGGGCUAAUACCGUAUAGGAGCUCCUGUUGCAUGGUGGGGGUUGGAAAGUUUCGGCGGUGGGGGAUGGACUCGCGGGUUAUCAGCUUGUUGGUGGGGUAGUGGCUUACCCAGGCUUUGACGGGUAGCCGGCCUGAGAGGGUGACCGGCGACAUGGGGACUGAGAGAGGGCGCAGACUGCUACGGGAGGCAGCAGUGGGGAAUAUUGCACAAUGGGCGGAAGCCUGAUGCAGCAGCGCCGCGUGCGGGAUGACGGCCUUCGGGGUGUGAACCGCUUUCGCCUGUGACGAAGCGUGAGUGACGGUAAUGGGUAAAGAAGCACCGGCUAACUACGUG
rnacentral:rRNA from 1 species